AGUGCAACGAUAGGUUUUGACGAAUAAAAUUAAAGUCGACUAAAGAACAUAAAUCCGGGAGCAAGAACGCGUGUGCUUCGCCUUGAGAACGCUGUGUAACCCGAAAGGAAGACAAGGAAAGACGCAAACGUAUGUUCGUCCGCCCAAGUUUCCAAGCGGAGAACCACUUCUGAAGGAUUUCGCGAGAAAGGAGGCGAGCCUAGUUAUCCGUUGAUGGCCGUGCGGCGAUUAAAUAUGCAUGACCGACCACCAGUGGACCGAAGGAAGCGGAGAAUUGUAAAUCAGCAGAGGGUCGAUGUGCAACUUCCUGGGAAAAGUAACUGAAAACAAAUAGACCUCGAAGGUCUCUGUCUCUGUGUUGGUAUCUGUAACCGGAGUAUCCGUGACCAAAGUAUUAGAACGUAGACUAGUGGUGUGCGCUCGCGCGAGCACCCCUGUUUGCAUGGCAGUCGUUGCUCAGGGUUGGUAGUACCGGGAACACACCAACUGCGACACUUCCGUGAAACUUUCUAACGAACCGACGACCGAGAGUUUGCAGCGCUAUCGAUGUAAAUCAGGGUCGACGUUAUAAUUUAAUCCGGCGAGACGCGACGAUGGCCUCGUCUAUCGGUGUCGAAGCGGAAAUUCCAUGGCAAAGCCCCGUCGUCGUCGUUGGCUGUCCCCCGUGGACAUUACGUUCGACGCGAUCUCGUGCAUCGUUGGCAAAUUAAAAAUUAUAAUUAUUAACAGAAUUUCGCGUUUAAUCAAACGAGGUAAGCGCGAUUGGAAACGAUGGUACAUAACGCGUUCACGCGCCAUGCGAGAUUCAUACGUCCUGCCUUGGAAAUCGAUUAGAUCGAAAUACGUAUAUUACGAACGACCGAUGUCGUUUUUUUUGCCAUUUUUCACGCAUCGUUGACAAAUUAAAAAUUGCGAUCUUUCGCCAUUUCAAAUUUCCUGUUUAAUCUCGCGUCUUUUGAAAUUAUAUAUCGCACGUGGUAAGUGUAAGGGAUUCGAGUAGGUAAACGAGCGAUGGUACAAAGUAACGUUAACGAGAUAGGAAGUAAGGGAAGAUAUUGAUAGGAAAUAGAAAACGAAAGAUUCGAGCGAUUGAGAGGGACGAAAGAUUAGUAGAGAAUUGUAAGCCGAGAAUUUUCUAAGCCAAGUUCAUUUUUUAGCCUCGAGGCCAAGCACGAAGAAUGUUAUUGCUAUUAUCGCGUUAAACGAAGUAAUUAUAUUGGAAGAGGAUGGAAAGAAUAUUAUUUAAAUUUGUCGAAGGUUGUUCAAACAUUUUAUACGUAUAUUUUUCUUUGAUUGAAUAGAUUGAAAUAUACGUUUAGCAUUUAAUUUUUGCAAGAUAGUAUUACAUUUUAUUUCCAUGCUUUUUCUCUCUUAUCCAAGUCAUUCGCGUUGUCGACCACUUUUUAGUCUAUGGAAUUCCGAUAACUAUCGUGACAGCUAACGCGUUAAUGAACAGAUUUUAUUGAAUAGAGUUAAGAAUAAGUAGAAUUUGCAUAUAAAUGUUGUAUUACAAAAAAAAAAAAGAAAAUAAAUAAAUAGAUAAUAAAAGCAAGCAGAAUGUUAUAAAAAUGUCGUGAAUACGCGACUAGUGGACAACGAGGUGCAUGAGAUUUACAUUUUUGAAACUUUGUUACGCUUUACUGAAAAACAGAAUAAAACGAGCUAUUUUAUGAAAAGUC